GACGAACGCUGGCGGCGUGCCUAAUACAUGCAAGUCGAACGCAGUGGGGACGGGUGAGUAACACGUGGGUAACCUCCCAUCAGAGGGGAUAACACUUGGCAACAGGUGCUAAACCGCUACUGAUGGAUGUACUCUCGGUGCAUUAGCUAGUUGGUGAGGUAACGGCGCACCAAGGCCACGAUGCAUAGCCGGCCUGAGAGGAUGAUCAGCAACACUGGAACUGAGAAACGGCCCAGACGCCUACGGGAGGCAGCAGUGGGGAAGCUUCGGCAAUGGACGAAAGUCUGACCGAGCAACGCCGCGUGAGUGAAGAAGGUUUUCGGAUCGUAAAGCUCUGUUGUUGGAGAAGCGGUAUCUAACCAGAAAGCCACGGCUAACUACGUGCCAGCAGCCGCGGUAAUAC
rnacentral:rRNA from 1 species